ensembl:lncRNA
UGUUUGCCACAGGCCAGCACGUGCUGAUGAAUGCUCUGACCAUUUUGUUACUUUUUAUCCGACAAAAGAAUUAUAACGACCGAGAAUUACCAUUGCGCGCACAUGUUUUUGUUUGUUUUUACGAGUAUUUUAUUAAGUGGGUCUCCCUGCACUCUCGCAGACAGAAGCAAAAGUCUGGCUGGUGUUGUACAGAGAAACCAGCCUCGUUUACAUGCUCUCGACGCAGGGCUGCGGGAGAGGGCCCACUUCUUUUUUAUACUCCUCAGUUCAUUUGACCUUUUUUAAAAACCAGUGAUGGGAGUGUCAGACUGGUCGCUGAAAGAGUUAAAAAAGUGCCUUUUUCUGUUAUUUUCCCUCCCUUGUCUCCCACAUUCCUCAAUCUCAUUUUGUCCGCUCACCUCCCCCCCGCCCCCACAAACCCCACCUACAGUGGCUAUGUACCUUAACAUGGGGCUCUUCGUACAUACCCCUAAAGAUCUCAUGAAUUCUUUAAAUGGCCAUGUCCCACGCUUAAGUGAUUUGAAUAAAAAUCUGUCCAAGAUUAUUGUUGUGAUUCUUUUUUUAUUUAUUUUUUGUUUUAAAAAAAAAAAGACUAGCACAGCUAAAAAGAUGUACAGAGUGUAUGGCAUUAUCAGGAAACAUUGGUCAUCUUGCCACUUGAAUCGUUGCAGGUCUAAAUAUGUUUUAAUAAUUAUUGUAAUUAAUAAGCACUGGCAGAAUGCAUCGGGUGUAUGUAACUGAUUUGCUAGACCUUCAGAAAGUUUCACCAGAGGCAGUUGAGGUACCUAGGCCUAACAUCAGUGUGGUUUAUUUUAUUGGAAAGGUCUGAGAAAGUCUAGCCCUCGUGCUGGCAUCAGGGGGUUCUUUUCCUUGCCUUAUGUGAACAUUUUCAGGCCAACUGCCAUGUCAUUUCCCCACUGUUUAUUAGAUGCCAUUAUGGAGAUCAAGAUCUCUUCUGUGUUACCCAGCAGAAGAAAUGAUUUCGGAAGUCUGUAGAAUCCACACCAUACAGAUAUUUUGCUCAGGUUAAAUGAUACUGACAAAAAGACUCUUCUACCUCCUGGAUUUUCCAGCUUGAAAUUGCUGUUAAAUGUUGAUGUGUUUGAACCUUGGGAAUAUUAUCUUUACUGCGGAACUCUCCCCAUUUGGUGUCGAUGACCCAGUUCCCUGCUAGAGGACUGAUUAUGGAGAUGACCUGUGCACUUGAUUGGACAGGUUGGAGCAGGAGGUAUUUCUGUCCGUCUCUGAUAUUCUGUGCUCAGCAGCUUUGCCAUGUAAGGGCCGUGUCUAGUCUGGAGGGGGCGGUCGAAACUCACAGUUUUCAGACCAAUAGAUUGAGCGCUAUGUGCCAGGGUUUGAUAACAACUGGUGACUUUCUCACACAACUGCUAAAUGUGACCGGUGACUCUCCGGUGUAAUUUGACACGAGGUUUCCAUGUUUAGCCCUAGAUGGUUCCAGAAAUGAGGGAAGACAGUUAGUUCCAACUUAGCAGCACGAGGCUUAGACUUCAAACUGGGUGUCUGUGUCCCUCGAAUCAGGUUUGUGCUCAACUAGGUAUAUGUUGUCCCACAUGCACCAUACCAGACCCACAGACUGGUUUUAACUUGCUUCAAACAUGUUAUGGAUGGUUUGGAUGUGUUUUGUUAAAGGUAUGGGUUUCAGAUGGAAAAAGACUUAAUUUUAUAUAUCAUUAUAUGUAUUCAUUUUUUUUUUAUAUAUAUAUAUAUAUAUAUAUAUAUAUAAUGAAUGAACAAAGAAUACAUCUAAACACGGUUCUUACAGGUUGACAUUACAAUCUGGUGUAUCUCAGCAUGUCAAAUCAGAUGAGUGUAGUAAUCUGCAGUAGACCAUUGCGUUGGGUAGUGCUCUUAUGUGCAAUGUCUCCUCCUUGUGGCGAAAAGGUAUAAUAAAUGCAAUCCAUUUCCUUUGUGCUUAGCA